rnacentral:rRNA from 1 species
CUGGCGGCGUGCUUAACACAUGCAAGUCGAACGGAAAGGCCCUUUCGGGGGUACUCGAGUGGCGAACGGGUGAGUAACACGUGGGUGAUCUGCCCUGCACUUUGGGAUAAGCCUGGGAAACUGGGUCUAAUACCGAAUAGGACCACGCGCUUCAUGGUGUGUGGUGGAAAGCUUUUGCGGUGUGGGAUGGGCCCGCGGCCUAUCAGCUUGUUGGUGGGGUAAUGGCCUACCAAGGCGACGACGGGUAGCCGGCCUGAGAGGGUGUCCGGCCACACUGGGACUGAGAUACGGCCCAGACUCCUACGGGAGGCAGCAGUGGGGAAUAUUGCACAAUGGGCGCAAGCCUGAUGCAGCGACGCCGCGUGGGGGAUGACGGCCUUCGGGUUGUAAACCUCUUUCAGUAUCGGCGAAGCUCCAGGAUUUUU